ensembl:lncRNA
CCUCCAUAUCCAUGGUUCUGCAACAGAUUAACUAAUGAAUGGAGGGCUCAUUCACCUGGAGGGAAGAAUCCCGGGCAGACCAGAAAACUGACUUCAGUCUUGGAGACGCUGGAAUCACUACCUGAAAAAGAACUUUAAAUCUGGAUCAUUGUUGCCAGCCAAAAUCUUUGCCUUCUCUGCCCACCGAGGCCAAAUGAAAAAUGUGGAGACAGAGUUUGAAGAAUAGAAAGAUGGCUUUUAUUCUCAGCCUGCAGAGAAGGGAAUACAGUAGACUCAUGCCUCAAGAACUGUGCUCCCCCUCCACGAGGAGUCUAGGGGCUUAUAUAAGGCAAGGGCUCACAUUCAGGAUCAGUGAUGAGGAGCAAAGGUGACAGGAUCUUGAUUACUUCCUCUUGCAUUGUUUCAGAGAGAGUCAUAAACUGGUGUCAGUAACCGGGUAUCUGAUUCUGGCAGUUCAGUGGCUCUGACCUCCUUUCGGAUAUGUAACUUUAAGGGGGAAGGGUGUUGUAAGGGUAAACACCAGAUAGGGGAUGUAUUUAGCAUAGACUCAAAGGAGAAAAUGUGAAUUGUAACUCCUGCAGAGUUAGGGGGCAGAAAAGCAAGCUUAAAGACAUGCAGAAGUUAAGAAUCUAGGAAUGUUCAGGCCUACUCACUGUUUUAUCUUCUUUGUUCUCAGGAAAGGGAAAAAAAAAAACCUCAUUCCUCUUUUCCUUGUCACUGCAACAUUAUGACAGUGGAACUCUAGGUUUUAGAAACCUUUAUCAAUAUGACAGG